AACGAACGCUAGCGGCAAGCUUAACACAUGCAAGUCGAACGAAUUGUAGCUGUAGUUUACUAUGGGUACAGUUAGUGGCAGACGGGUGAGUAAUGCAUAGGAAUCUGCCUAGUAGUAUGGAAUAGCUGUUAGAAAUGACAGGUAAUACCGUAUAAUCCCUGCGGGGGAAAGAUUUAUCGCUAUUAGAUGAGCCUAUGUUAGAUUAGCUAGUUGGUAAGGUAAUGGCUUACCAAGGCUAUGAUCUAUAGCUGGUCUGAGAGGACGAUCAGCCACACUGGAACUGAGAUACGGUCCAGACUCCUACGGGAGGCAGCAGUGGGGAAUAUUGGACAAUGGGCGCAAGCCUGAUCCAGCUAUGCCGCAUGAGUGAAGAAGGCCUUAGGGUUGUAAAACUCUUUCAGCAGGGAAGAUAAUGACGGUACCUGC
rnacentral:rRNA from 1 species